rnacentral:tmRNA from 1 species
GGGGCUGAUUCUGGAUUCGACGGGAUUUGCGAAACCCAAGGUGCAUGCCGAGGGGCGGUUGGCCUCGUAAAAAGCCGCAAAGAAUAGUCGCAAACGACGAAAACUACGCUUUAGCAGCUUAAUAACCUGCUUAGAGCCCUCUCUCCCUAGCCUCCGCUCUUAGGACGGGGAUCAAGAGAGGUCAAACCCAAAAGAGAUCGCGUGGAAGCCCUGCCUGGGGUUGAAGCGUUAAAACUUAAUCAGGCUAGUUUGUUAGUGGCGUGUCCGUCCGCAGCUGGCAAGCGAAUGUAAAGACUGACUAAGCAUGUAGUACCGAGGAUGUAGGAAUUUCGGACGCGGGUUCAACUCCCGCCAGCUCCACCA